rnacentral:lncRNA from 1 species
CCCAGAAGCUCCUUUGCAGCCAGCCUCCUGCACCACACGGCAUCCCCAGGCUGCCCUGACUCAGGAAACAAAGCAUUUUCCAUGGAGGAUAUGGAAACCUCCCUCUCCCAGUAACUGCUGGCAGGUACACCAGACCUGCCUGUUUGUAUUCAAAUGGUGUCUUCCCUGAGCAAGUUGUAUGGAAAUGAGAACCUCCAACACAGCCUGCUACCUUUAAAGCAGAAGACAAGGGGGCACUUCAGAAGCAUCCUCAUCCCAACAUGGGGCAAGCAAGAUGAUGUUAGGCUACCUCCUGGGACCAGACCUGGCCUGGCCAAGCAGCUGGAGGAAGGCAGUGAGCAGGCAAGAGAGACCCUUCAGCUCAUGUACCACCACCCCUGCUGCCUGGCUACCUGGAAAGAAUGUCUUCUGGCCAUUCAGGUGUUUCUUGGGAGAACCACUUGCCAGUAUCACCACGAUAAAGGUUUUUCUGCAAACUCUCCCACUCCUCAAUCAGUCCACCUGCUUGGAAUACUUCAGGCUUUUUCCUGCAGCCUGCAUUGGUCUGGAUAAACCUACCCCAGCCCUGCCAGGAGCCUUGCCCCGCUACUCUCAGAAGCCAGACAACUCUCUCAUCUGCUGACAUCAUUACAGAGUAAAACAACAAGAACAUAAUGAUCUCUUACACAUUUCCAGAAUGAAGUUUAAAUUAGUACCACCUCACAAACUGACUGGGAAAGGGCAGUGUUGAAAAUGGGGUUUCAUUUUUCCUGCUGCCAGGAUGCACACUGAAAGAAAGGCUUUCCUGGUUCCACCAGAACCCCAGAGCAGAACUUUGGUGUCCAUCAACGAUGCCGAGAUCCCUUCGUUCCCGCAGGUCACUGACCUUGUGAUCCUUUGGCGACCCCGCCAGUCGGACUGUGCAGAGUGCAGAGUCCUGGAGAAAGGGUGGCUUUGGGAGAGUGGUGUGCACUGGUAACGGAGACCCAGGAGUUCUUUCAAACUUUGAAGGAUGACUGUAGAGCUCUCCUGAAAGAAACGUGGUCAGGGAGGCAAGGGAGGUAGAUGACAUCCCUGGUUGGGCUGGAGAACACUGUAUUCUCAUUUCUCAUAUUUCAGGAGCAAUGGGUGGGGCUGGGGGGUGGGGGCAGGGUCGUCCAGCUAUGGUCCAUAUAGCAUGGAUCGUGGAGAAUAUCACCCACGUAAAGCUCGAGAAAAACAUUAACAGAGUGGUCUCAAAUUGUUUUCCCUUCUUCAAGAAAUCCAGUAAUGUCUGGAAAAAUGAGUCUUGUGUAUGUUUGGGUUUUCUGAGGAUUGAGGGCUCCACAGGACCACAGGAGCUGUGGACUCAUAAGAAAGAAGUGUGAGGAUUCAACGUUCAUCCCUCAAUGCUGGCUACUUUCCAUGUGUGACUUCUACCCAUCCCCAGAUGGAUUCCCAGCCCUGGAAGGUCGAUCCCAGCCCUGGAAGGUCGAUCCCUUGGGAUUGCAUCAGCCGUCUCUCUCAACCUCUGGUUUCUGGUUGAGUUUGCCCAAUGGGAGGCUUUGAAAAGAAACAGGGAGGGAGGAGGAGAGAGGCUGGGGUGUUUCUCCCCUGCUCUCACCUUCCUAAAGCACAUAUGUCCAGCAAUUGUGCAUCCCUUCGGAUCUGGGGAUGGUAAUGCUUUCUGCUACUGUUAGUUGUAUCAGUUAUCUAUUGCUGUGUAACAACCACCCCAAACUUAGUGAUUUAAACAGUCCUCAUUUACUUGCAGAUAAUUCUAUAGUUUGAGUUCAACUCGUCUGCAAAGUUCUUCUGCUGGUCAGAUCACGGCAGCUACGUGAAUGACUCCCUAAGUUACAAAUAAUUUAAGAAGUCUGAAUGGUAUACAACAUCACACACAAUAAAAUGGGCCUGACUUGUUUCUUUUUGUGUGAUAUAAUCGAUAACCACUUUGGAAUGCUAUGAAUAGGUAAGGCAUAAGUACAUAGAAUGUGUUAUACAUAUCCCUGUUUGUGCUGAUUGCCAUAGACAGCUAGGCAUCAGGCCUGGGGCCUGGAAUGCAUCCCUGGAAAUCAGACAUAGAGUAUAUUAUGCUGCCUUGCUCACAUUAUAGAACACAUACCAACUCAAGUGCCCCGUGUGAUGUGUGAAUGCCUUUUUUGGCAUUCCAACGGGGGUUGGCUUUGACUGUACACUGUGCUGAAGUCUUUCUCACUGGCUUGUUAUUGCAGGGCUGAUGGUGUUCAUGAAAGCAGACCUGUGGGCACAGGGGAGUUUCUGGGGCCCGGUUAGUAAAACAUCCUCCAGAGAGUACUCAUAACCUCUCUACUGAUCGAGGCUCUCAACAUCCAGAAUAAGGAAAACUCGAAAAACAUUUUGAUGAAGAGUAGCCUAUUUGUUUUGUGGAAGGUGCCUUCUGUUGCUGGAAGACAAACCUGUUCCACUCUCACACGUGGAGCACUACAGUAGCUUUUGGACCUGCAGCCCUGCUUCCUGCCUUGUGCCCUUCCAAUCCAUUCUCCAUCCAGAAAGCAGACUGAUGCUCUUAAAACACAAAUCAGAUCAUGUCUCCCCCCUGCCUCCAAAACUACCACAAAAUAUUCAGAAUCUCUCCCAAACUCCUUCCUAUCAUUGUGCCUACCUCUCUGAUUUCAUCUCCAGCCAUCUCAUUGUCACUCACCAGUCUCUGGACACACCUGCUUCUCAUUGCUUCAUAGAUGUACCAAAAUCACUCCCUGCUCAGGUGCUUUGUACUUGCCAUUCCUGUACUGCUGUUCCCCCAGAUGUCUGUACCGCUGGCUCCUUCUCAUCAGGUCUCCCCUUGAAUGUCACCUCCAAAGAGAAGCCCUCCAGUCUUGUUCUUUCACAUUGCUUAUUUUCACUUUAAUCACAGCACUUAACCACUAGCCAGUAAUAUCUUUCUGGUUAUUUAGUUGUGUACUUUCCUUCCCCCAUGAAAAGAUAAGCUCCAUGAGAGCAGCAGCACUAUCUGGGGUCACAGACAUGACCCACCAAUUCUGAGUCUGUCUCCAGGUGGCUUCUGAUCCAGAGUUCCAGCCACAGCACCAGUCUGCUUCUUGAACAAGUGUUGGCAUUUUCUCAGCAGCUUUAGAAAUCAGAUCUCAUUCCUAAACCCUGUGACUCAACCAACAGCAAGAGAGAGAGCUGGGUUGGGGACACAAGGGCACCCUCAGUCUUCAGGGAUAUAGCAACCCUCCAAGUAGUGGAACCAUGAAGGAAGGCUGAGGAUCAAGCCCGGGGGCUGAUCUGCUCACUGGAAGCUGACCCUCUCCCAGACCAUGCCAACUCUCAGCAUUUCACAAACUAGAC